AACAAAAGAGAGGGAAACAAAUACCGUAAACAUUUGUCUAUCAAAAAAAAAAAAAAAACUGUAAACAUUUGUGGUUUCUCUAAGGAACCCAACAGAUGGCGGCAUCGGAAUCAACUCCUACAAGAGAAGAAGAAGAAGGAGAGCAACUGGAAGAAGACCGUUUUGUCUCUUCGCAUCACCCUUCCGCACCGCCCGAUGAGUUAUUUGAUAUUUCCACAACUGUUGAUCCGAGUUAUGUAAUUUCAUUGAUAAGGAAACUUCUUCCAGUUGAACCAAAGAACGUUGAUAAUACUGAAAUUCGGGGAUCAAAUUGUAAUAAUGAAGUUGUAAAUUCAUCAAAUGAUAGUUGUAAAAGCAUGGAUAUUGUUGAUGAUCCUACUGAAUCUGAGUUUCGAGGGGAAGGUGAUGAAGAUUCGCAUAAGGAGGAAAUUGCUCGUUUAUCAGCUGGGGAAGAGGUCUGGGAGGAGUGUGGUUGUGUUCUGUGGGAUCUUGCUGCAAAUCAAACUCAUGCUGAGCUCAUGGUGCAAAAUUUUGUACUUGAAGUUCUUUUAGCAAACCUUAUGGUUACCCAAUCCGUUCGUGUAACUGAGAUUUGUCUCGGAAUUAUGGGAAAUUUAGCUUGCCAUGAAGUUCCCUUGAAGCAUAUAGUCUCUUCAAAUGGACUAAUUGCUGUGAUAGUAGAUCAGUUGUUUUUAGAUGACACCCAAUGUCUAUGUGAAGCUUUCCGGCUUUUAAGUUCUGGUCUUCAAGGUGGUGAAUGCAUAAAAUGGGAAGAAGCAUUGCAGUUUGAACACAUUUUAAGCCGCAUUUUAUGGGUCAUGGAAAACACGUUAAAUCCACAGCUUAUUGAAAAGAGUGUUGGACUUCUAUUGUCCAUGUUAGAAAGUCAGAAGGAAGUUGAGCAUAUUCUUCUGUCGCCUUUGAUGAAACUUGGUUUAGCAAGCGUACUGGUUAAUCUUUUAACUUUUGAGAUGAGCAAACUUACAAAUGACAGAAUACCUGAAAGGUAUCCUGUUCUUGAUGUUAUUCUUCGUGCACUUGAAGCCCUCUGUGUUAUAGAUGUAUGUUCUCAGGAAAUCUGCUCAAAUAAAGAAAUUUUCCAACUAGUCUGUGACUUGAUCAAAUUUCCUGAUAAAGUUGAGGUCUCUACCUCCUGUGUGACUGCUGGACUUUUAAUUGCAAAUAUUUUGUCUGAUGUUCCCGAUCUAGCUUCAAGCAUAUCACAAGAUUUGCCUUUCUUGCAGGGACUGUUUGAUAUUUUCCCAUUUACUUCAGAUGAUUCUGAAGCACGAUGUGCACUAUGGAAUGUUAUUGCAAGGUUCCUUGUUCGAGUGCGAGAAGAUGAGAUGAGUGCUUCUAAUCUACGCCAAUAUGUGUUUAUUCUAUUGAGCAAAUCUGAUGUGAUAGAAGAUGAUCUUUUUGAUCACCAAUUUGAUGAGAAAAAGGAAAAUGAGAGCUUGGCCACCUCUGGCAGAAAAUCAGACGCCCGAACUCUUGCUCUUAGAAGGAUAACCAGCAUACUAAACAAGUGGAAUGCUUUAAAGGAUUCUUGUGAGAAGGAUAUGAUGGAGGAUUACGCAACUAAUGAAAAAAUCUGUAGAUUGUUGGAUAUCUGUCAUGGACACACCAUAUCUGGUACUUCUGAAUAAUCUUUCUUGGGGCAACAUUACUGAACAUACAAGUCCAUGAAUCAUUCAUUCAACUUGCUCAUAUAGAGGUGAAUAGAAACUUUAAUGGGAUCCUUUCUUAUCUUUUGAAGCUUUGGACAUAAUCCAUCAUCCAAUUAAGAGAUACUUUAUGAGCUUCUGAUGGGUGGAAUCCAUCCCAGAAAACAUAUUCAGAUGCAUUUGCGCAUGUCCCAAUGGAUUUGGGAUUGCACAAUAUUGAUGUUUCCAACAAUCCGGUUCCACAACAAGCUUUUCUUGCUUCUGCAAAACCUGUUCAAACAUUGCUUAAACUAUCAGUGCCUUGCCUGCAAAUUGAACUAUUAGUUUCUUUAAAUACUAAAGAAAUGAUGAUGUACCACUGUCAGCAGGUUUAGUGACAAGGUUAUAGAGAGAUUGGUAGAUGUCAAAGACCACCAAUUUAAGGUUGGGGAGCUUUGUCUGUAACCUUUGAGAUGUUGCAUUGAGUUUGUUGUUGAAUGAAACUGCUACCUUAUUUAACUUAGCCACACACUCGUUGCUAUCUGAUCCGAAAACUGUUAUGGCUGCUGGUAAGCAUCCCAACGGUGGCAAUGUCGUCACUCCAAUUUUCCUUGCUCCGAGCUUGUACAAAUUCUGUCACACAACUUUUUAACUUUAACCAAGUUGUAACCACAUGUAUUAAGAUCCCUUAUUUUGAGCUUUUUGAGGGCUUGAUUUA